GACGAACGCUGGCGGCGUGCUUAACACAUGCAAGUCGAACGGAAAGGCCCUGCUUGCAGGGUACUCGAGUGGCGAACGGGUGAGUAACACGUGGGUGAUCUGCCCUGCACUUCGGGAUAAGCCUGGGAAACUGGGUCUAAUACCGGAGAGGAGCCAUCUUUAGUGUGAUGGUUGGAAAGUUUUUUCGGUGUAGGAUGAGCUCGCGGCCUAUCAGCUUGUUGGUGGGGUAAUGGCCUACCAAGGCGGCGACGGGGAGCCGGCCUGAGAGGGUGGACGGCCACAUUGGGACUGAGAUACGGCCCAGACGCCUACGGGAGGCAGCAGUGGGGAAUAUUGCACAAUGGGCGCAAGCCUGAUGCAGCGACGGCGCGUGGGGGAUGACGGCCUUCGGGUUGUAAACUCCUUUCGCUAGGGACGAAGCUUUUUGUGACGGUACCUAGAUAAGAAGCACCGGCUAACUACGUG
rnacentral:rRNA from 1 species